rnacentral:rRNA from 1 species
CACGGGGGGAGCAAGCGUUGUUCGGAAUCACUGGGCGUAAAGGGCGUGUAGGCGGUCAGGUUAGUGAGAUGUGAAAUGCCCCGGCUUACCCGGGGACCUGCAUCUCAAACUGCCUGGCUUGAGUAUGGGAGAGGAUGAGGGAAUUCCUGGUGUAGCGGUGAAAUGCGUAGAUAUCAGGAGGAACACCGGUGGCGAAAGCGCUCAUCUGGCCCAAUACUGACGCUGAGGCGCGAAAGCUAGGGGAGCAAACGGG